GCCAGGCGUGGUGGUGCAUGCCUGUAAUCCCAGCGGCUCGGGAGGCUGAGGCAGGAGGAUUGUGAGUUCAAAGCCAGCUUCAGCAAUGGUGAGGUGGUAGGCAGCUCACCAUUGAGACCCUGUCUCUA
rnacentral:sRNA from 1 species